UUUUCUUGAGAGUUUGAUCCUGGCUCAGGACGAACGCUGGCGGCGUGCUUAACACAUGCAAGUUGCACGGUAUAUCAUGGAAGCUUGCUGAAGUGGUAUAUAGUGGCGAACGGGUGAGUAAUGCAUGA
rnacentral:rRNA from 1 species